ACCCGCUGAACUUAAGCAUAUCAAUAAGCGGAGGAAAAGAAACCAACAGGGAUUGCCCUAGUAACGGCGAGUGAAGCGGCAACAGCUCAAAUUUGAAAUCUGGCGUCUUUGGCGUCCGAGUUGUAAUUUGCAGAGGGCGCUUUGGCAUUGGCAGCGGUCCAAGUUCCUUGGAACAGGACGUCACAGAGGGUGAGAAUCCCGUACGUGGUCGCUAGCCUUUACCGUGUAAAGCCCCUUCGACGAGUCGAGUUGUUUGGGAAUGCAGCUCUAAAUGGGAGGUAAAUUUCUUCUAAAGCUAAAUACUGGCCAGAGACCGAUAGCGCACAAGUAGAGUGAUCGAAAGAUGAAAAGCACUUUGGAAAGAGAGUUAAAAAGCACGUGAAAUUGUUGAAAGGGAAGCGCUUGCAGCCAGACUUGCCUGUAGUUGCUCAUCCGGGUUUUUACCCGGUGCACUCUUCUAUAGGCAGGCCAGCAUCAGUUUGGGCGGUUGGAUAAAGGUCUCUGUCAUGUAUCUUCCUUCGGGAUGACCUUAUAGGGGAGGCGUAAUGCGGCCAGCCCGGACUGAGGUCCGCGCAUCUGCUAGGAUGCUGGCGUAAUGGCUGU
rnacentral:rRNA from 1 species